CCAUGGGUCACAAAGAGUUGGACACGACUUCGCGACUAAACAACAAAAUGUUAACGCCUUAGCUCUUUGCAAUUUGAGUCUUUCCUUGAUCCCAAGACGGGCGUAGCAGCUCCAGAUAGUCUUUAAGACUUAUGUGAGCAUCUUCGAUAAGGAAGCAGAGGGCAACAGCUUUCUCCUUGGGAGGGUCUGCUUUUAGCCUGGAAAGGAAGCCUUUCCUGACUGGUCCUUAGAUCUCAUUGGCCAGCACUGGAUCACAUGCUCAAUCCUAGACUGAUGAUUGUGAAGUGAAAAGUACAUUCAUUCAUUCUCUAGCUGGCCAUAAAUCCCUGGACCUGUGCUAGUUAUUGGAGGCUUUGUUAGCAGAGAAUAGAAAGUGGAGUUGUGUAUAGUGAGAAGCCAUAUCUCCCAUACAUACAUUUCUAUUACCACCAUCAUUACCACCCCAGUUCUAAAAGCCAGUCUAAUUGAACUGCCUUCAGCACUCAAACACGCUAUAUUCUCUGUGGUGUCUGGGUCUUUGCACAUGACUUUUGCUUUACCCACAACACACUGUCUUUGCUUCAUUUACUAAGAUCUUGAUGUGAAUGGCUCCUGCUUCUCCCUUUAGGCCUCAGUUUCAAUACCACUUCCUUUGAAAAGUCUUCCCUGAUCCCCAGUUCUCUAGUACCCUUUUGUUAUUCCUGUCUUAGACCCUGCCAAACUACAGAUCUUCUCGACUUAUGAUGGGGCUGUGUCCUGAUGAAACCACUACAUUUACAUUUAAAAGCUUUUGCCAUGGUGAUUUCCAAAGAAAGAGAAUGGAGAAGGAUGAUUUCUUGCUCAGGUUGAUUCACAUACUGUUAGCAACAAUGACUAGCAAUGCGCCUCUAGGGGACCUGAUCUACUUCCCUGUGGCAGAUAAUUUUUUUGAGUUGGAAAUGCCCUUUCAUCAUGGAAUAGCAACAUGCAUCAUCUUUCUGGACUUGGAUUCGUUCUCCCUGUUCAUGUGCAUCUCAAGCGUCACAGGAUUCCAUACAUGGCUCCUGACAGGGGCACACAAUGUUAUCUAAGUAGUGGUUGAGUUUAUCAUGUAGUCUAUAAGGCUGAGACGGGAUUGUGACAGAACUGAAGAGGAAU